rnacentral:rRNA from 1 species
UAUUGGACAAUGGGGGAAACCCUGAUCCAGCGACGCCGCGUGAGUGAAGAAGUAUUUCGGUAUGUAAAGCUCUAUCAGCAGGGAAGAAAGAAAUGACGGUACCUGAGUAAGAAGCCCCGGCUAACUACGUGCCAGCAGCCGCGGUAAUACGUAGGGGGCAAGCGUUAUCCGGAAUUACUGGGUGUAAAGGGAGCGUAGACGGCAUGGCAAGUCUGAAGUGAAAGCCCGGGGCUCAACCGCGGGACUGCUUUGGAAACUGUUAAGCUGGAGUGCAGGAGAGGUAAGUGGAAUUCCUAGUGUAGCGGUGAAAUGCGUAGAUAUUAGGAGGAACACCAGUGGCGAAGGCGGCUUACUGGACUGUAACUGACGUUGAGGCUCGGAAGCGUGGGGAGCAAAC